CUUCUCAGCAGAAACCUUAUAGUCUAGAAGGGAGUGGCAGAAUAUAUUUAAAGUGCUGAAAGGGGAAAACCUACAGCCAGGAAUACUCUACUCAGCAAGGUCAUCAUUCAGAAUGGAAGGAGAGAUAAAGAGUUUUCCAGACAAACAAAAACUAAAGAAGC